rnacentral:rRNA from 1 species
AUGAACGCUGGAGGCGUGGCUAAGGCAUGCAAGUCGUACGAAGACAUUGGUGUAGCAAUACAUUAAUGUACUUAGUGGCAAACGGGAGCGUAACACAUUGGUAACUUACCUCGAACUCGUGAACAACCAAGGGAAACUUUGGCUAAUACGCGAUAUUGUCUCCCACUUUCACCGGAGGGAGAUGAAAGAUUUAUCGGUUCGAGAGAGACCUAUGGUCCAUCAGGUAGUUGGCGGGGUAACGGCCCACCAAGCCUAUGACGGAUACCAGGCGCGAGAGCGUGACCUGGCUCACUGGGACUGAGACACUGCCCAGACACCUACGGGUGGCUGCAGUCGCGAAUAUUCGGCAAUGCACGAAAGUGUGACCGAGCGACGCCUCGUGUCGGAAGAAGGCCUUCGGGUCGUAAACGACUUUUAUUGGGGAAGAAUCAUGACGGUACCCAACGAAUAAGUGGUUGCUAACUCUGU